rnacentral:rRNA from 1 species
UGCUGCAUGGCUGUCGUCAGCUCGUGUCGUGAGAUGUUGGGUUAAGUCCGCAACGAGCGCAACCCUUGCCUUUAGUUGCCAGCAGUUCGGCUGGGCACUCUAAAGGGAACUGCCGGUGUUAAACCGGAGGAAGGUGGGGAUGACGUCAAGUCCUCACUGGCCUUUAUGACCAGGGCUACACACGUACUACAAUGGCCGAUACAAAGGGCAGCGACACUGCGAGGUGAAGCCAAUCCCGUAAAAUCGGUCUCAGUCCGGAUUGGAGUCUGCAACUCGCCUCCAUGAAGUCGGAAUCGCUAGUAACCGCAGAUCAGCUACGUUGCGGUGAAUACGUUCCCGGGCCUU